GCCGUGCUACAUGAGGCGGUCGAGUCAGAGGAUGCGAGUCGAUGGAUCCACGGACGCCGCGAGCUGAUGCUUGAGGCGGUCAAGUCUGAGGUUGUGUUUUGUAAAAUGGCAUAGUCGUCGGUCUCUUUGGCGAGGUCUCUUUCGAUUAACUUCACAGUGGCAGCCGCCGCAGUGCAUGUCCCAAGUCUCAGCCCCCAUCUCGUGUUCUUGCAUAUCAAGAAGCAGGAACGGCUAUACUAAAGGCCAUCAAUUUCCAUGUCUUCCAGACCUUAACCAAGCAUCACUGAUGAGGGAAGAUGCCACUUCCUUGGCUCAAACUGCAGGAUUUAGAUCCACCUCUUGAUGUAAGAAUCGACCUUGUGUAUUUUAUUUUUUACCACCUUCUAACUGUAAAUAACAGUGACAGACUUGUACUGCUAUGAAGUUGUUAUCUAUUUGUUUCAUUAGUUACAAAGUGGCAACACUCCUUUCUUUAGUUUCAAUUUUUUCUGGUAGAAGUGUACCACAGUACUAACCUUCAAGAGAUUAGUAUUUCAGGGGGCUAAUUAUGAAAUAAAAUGAAUGAGGAAAUUUCCUUGGUUAUUGAACUGAGUUAACCUACACGUAUGUAUAUGACAGGAGUAAUGACUAAUGAGGUAACCUAUCUCAUGUGACUUUCUUGCCUUUUCAAUUGCUGGUUUCAAUUCCUUGGCUGUAGCUACCUUGAUUUUUCAGAAGACCAUUAGCUAUCUUGAUUUGAAGGUGUAUCAUGUUUAUGUAUUGCUUUAUUAUUUCCACAAGUUAAGUAGCAGUAGGUAGCUUGGUUUUUACUAGAAUUUCCUUGACAUAAUAUUUGGUGCUUCUCCUCAUCAUUUAGACAGCAAGAGAACAAUGGCUUGCAUACAUGAAGGCUAUCUCCAACAUUGCUUGAUUUGCAGUUUAUUCCCAGGCUUGAAACAGUGGCAUAUAGUAUUAUCUUACAGAACAAUAGAUGAUUCCGCUUUCAGAGAGCUGAUCAUACCUAUCUUGCUCGAUUUGAUGUUGUUCCGUGUGUUACUUUGUACCUCUCGACACAAUGAAUAUGAAGGAGAGGCACUCCAAGAGUUCAUGUUUAAUUACAAGAUCUAUAGCUAUUUCGUUUACAUUAGGAGCAGUACCAAUCUGUUUCUAAUUCAGGUUAAACUAGGAACAUCUAUGGAAGGAUAAAUUUUAGUAUUUGAUCCUUCUAUUGACAAGUCGUAUAACUUAUGAUAUUAUAGAGUUUAGAGAUGCUUAUCCUGUUCUAUAUGGCUUAAGUUAUAUCAGUAGUUAUGUACUGUAGUUUUGCCGAGAUAGGAUACAUUAUAUGGAAAUAAGAUGUAUGCAAAAACUUUGCAGGAAGUGCUUGUAUAUUGGAGGAAGCCAAAAUGUUAGAGAACUCAGAUGCAUGGGUAUAGAAAUCAGAUAAAAUUUGCUUCUU